UACGUAGGGUGCAAGCGUUGUCCGGAUUUAUUGGGCGUAAAGAGCUCGUAGGCGGUUUGAUAAGUCGGAUGUGAAACCCCCAGGCUUAACCUGGGGCCGCCAUUCGAUACUGUCAUGGCUAGAGUCCGGUAGGGGACCAUGGAAUUCCUGGUGUAGCGGUGAAAUGCGCAGAUAUCAGGAGGAACACCAGUGGCGAAGGCGGUGGUCUGGGCCGGUACUGACGCUGAGGAGCGAAAGCGUGGGGAGCGAACAGG
rnacentral:rRNA from 1 species